GACGAACGCUGGCGGCGUGCUUAACACAUGCCAGUCGAACGGAAAGGCCCUGCUUUUGUGGGGUGCUCGAGUGGCGAACGGGUGAGUAACACGUGAGUAACCUGCCCUUGACUUUGGGAUAACUUCAGGAAACUGGGCUAAUACCGGAUAGGAGCUCCUGCUGCAUGGUGGGGGUUGGAAAGUUUCGGCGGUUGGGGAUGGACUCGCGGCUUAUCAGCUUGUUGGUGGGGUAGUGGCUUACCAAGGCUUUGACGGGUAGCCGGCCUGAGAGGGUGACCGGCCACAUUGGGACUGAGAUACGGCCCAGACUCCCACGGGAGGCAGCAGUGGGGAAUAUUGCACAAUGGGCGGAAGCCUGAUGCAGCAACGCCGCGUGCGGGAUGACGGCCUUCGGGUUGUAAACCGCUUUCGCCUGUGACGAAGCGUGAGUGACGGUAAUGGGUAAAGAAGCACCGGCUAACUACGUG
rnacentral:rRNA from 1 species